GACGAACAAUUGGAGGGCAAGUCUGGUGCCAGCAGAAGCGGUAAUUCCAGCUCCGAUAGCGUAUAUUAAAGGUGUUGCAGUUAAUUAGCUCGUAGUUGAACUUUGGGCCCGGUUGGCCGGUCCGAUUUUCCCGUGUACUGGAUUCGGAACGGGGCCUUUCCUUCUGGCUAACCUUGAGUCCUUGUGGCUCUUGGCGAACCAGGACUUUUACUUUGGGAAAAUUAGAGUGUUCAAAGCAGGCGUAUUGCUCGAAUAUAUUAGCAUGUAAUAAUAGAUUAGGACGUUUGGUUCUAUUUUGUUGGUGGCUAGGACCAUCGUAAUGAUUAAUAGGGACUGUCCCGGGCAUCAGUAUUCAAUUGUCAGAGGAGAAAUUCUUGGAUUUAUUGAAGACUAACUACUGCGAAAGCAUUUGCCCAAGGACGUUUUCAUUAAUCAGGAACGAAAAUUAGGGGAUCGAAGAUGAUCAGAUACCGUCGUAGUCUUAACCAUAAACUAUGCCGACUAGGGAUCGGAUGGUGUUUUUUUAAUGACGCACUCGGCACCUUACGAGAAAUCAUUGUCUAAGGGUUCUGGGGGGAGUAUGGUCGCAAGGCUGAAACUUAAAGGAAUUGACGGAAGGGCAGGACCAGGAGUGGAGCCUGCGGCUUAAUUUGACUCAACACGGGGAAACUCACCAGGUCCAGACACAAUAAGGAUUGACAGAUUGAGAGCUCUUUCUUGAUUUUGUGGGUGGUGGUGCAUGGCCGUUCUUAGUUGGUGGAGUGAUUUGUCUGCUUAAGG
rnacentral:rRNA from 1 species